CUUUAAUUUAUUUCUGAUUUACAGGUAUAGUUUCUGUCAACUUUAUCAGUGACAUUUGCCACAUCAGAUCUGUUGCUGUGUGAUAAUUUCCUAAUGCCACAUACUCAGAGGCACAUCCAACUCUUCUCCAGAAGUGAACUGAGAGCAGCAGGACGGGCCUGAGCACGAGUCUCAAGGCAGAGCAGGAAGUUGGCUCAGAACAGCACUGCCCCACAUCCAUGGGACCCUCUUCUCCCAUCUCCAUUCCUACAGCAAUGCUCAGGACACAAAACACACUUUGCUCCUCUACACUGUCAAACCCAAUUAGACUGCAGCAAGAAGGAUUGGUCACUGCACUGAAAAGAUUUGAGAGAGCACAAAAUUACAGAGCUGGACUGGACAGGUGUCAUGGAUCUGCUUCUUCUGUUUUGAGGGGGUGUUGUCUCUGAAAACUUUAUUUCUCCCUUAUCUCUAAAGUACAGGAGGGCAGUAACACAUUUCUCUGAUCCUGGAAAGCCAGAGUAAUGGAUUGCAUAUAUCUCUUGAAUGGAUUGCAUAUGCUCUGAAGCCUAUUUCCAAACUGCAUAACUUAUAGAAAAACACAGUUAAUAGCUGGCAAACUUGGUUGUUGCACUAGUGUUGGUUGGGGUAGAGAUAAUAUUUUUCAUACUGUCAAUACUGUCUGUUUUGGAUUUGUGCUGGAAACAUCAGGGAGGUUUUCAUUAUUGCUGAGCAGUACUUCCACAGAGUCAAGGCCUUUUCUGCCUUUCCACCUGCCAGAGAGGUGGGGGUGCACAUGGAUCUGGGAGAGGACACAGCCAGAACAGCUGACCCUAGAUGAUCAAAGGCAUAUUCCGUACCAUAGGGUGCCAUGCUCAGCGUACACAGCUGGGGAAAUAAGUAGAAAGGAUGGGAUGUUCAGAAUUAUGGCUUUUGCUUUCCCAAGUCACCACUACAUGUGUGGAGCCCUGUUUUCCUGAGCAUGGUUGAACACCUGCCUGUCCAUGGGAAAUGGUGAAUGAAAGUCUUGUUUUGCUUUUCUCAUGUUUGAGGUUUCUGCUUUACUUAUUAAACUGUCUUUGCCUCAAC
ensembl:lncRNA